rnacentral:lncRNA from 1 species
AUUUAUUUUAUAAAGUUGACUUUAUAGCAUGAUUUUCAGAAUAAAAUGGAUUUUAUUAUCAAUCGCUUUUAAAGUUAAAUUCAGUUUAGUUAAAUUAUUUUAGUAGCAUGUAUUAUAUUCUUAUUACAUGUUUCAGUAUAGUUAAAGUUAUUUCUAAAAGCCACCCGAAAGUACCCAGGUGAUUUUACCCCAAUUUGCACUGAUGUGAAUGUGUUUCCACAAUGUAUGACUAGUUACAGUGAUUUUACCCGCUCUGCACUAUUGUGAAUGUAUUUCCAUAGUGUAUGACCAGAUUAUCAGAGGUCUUUGGGACCCACUCUCGUACACACAUAGGCUUUGGGCCGUGUACUAGGGUGAUUAGCCUUUGGGGCAGCUCUGCGUACGUAUGACCAGAUUAUCAGAUUUGAAUGACUUUGCUUUGUACAUCGAGAUUACUUUGUACAUGAGUAAGGCUAUUCAAUAGAUACUCUUUUUGGUGUUAUUUUUUAGUAUUUAUUCAGUUCUCAAAUUUUAGAUCAUGGAAUUCAGUUAAUUCAGUUUUCAAAAUUAAGCUUUCAGCUUAUAAUAUUGAGCAGCAGCAAUAUUUCAUAGAUUUUCAUGAAUAUCAGAUUUUUUAUAUUUGUUAUACCUUACAGAUACUUAUCUAGAAUUUAGAACAAAGAAUUUUAUAAUGUAAUCAUGUUUAGUUUUUAAAGGCAUUACUAGAUUCAGAAAUUCUCAAGGAUUUAAUAAAGUUAAUUUUUUUUUAUAGAAAAUAUGCAUAAAUGGAAAAAGUUUACUUAUUUGCAAAUCACCCACUCACUGAGUUACGAACUCAUAUUUUUGUCAUGUUUUUUCUAUCAGGAGACCGUUGAUUUUGAGAUACUUGGAAAAACCUGCUGAAGCGAAAGAGACCUUUCAUAGUAUGUAAUGAAUAGUUGGGGGACUAAUGUUUAUUAAGUACUUUGUCUAAUAUUUGGGGUGUCAUGCACUUUGUAGAAGAGUUUGUAAUUGAUGUAAUGCUUGCAUGUAGACUUGAUGUUGUUGUAGAUGCACUCAGUCGAAUUUUGUUAUAUUUUGUUUUAGUUGUGGUGGUAUUAGUGGAAGUGGUGGUUUCCAAAACUUUUGGUUUGAAUGUCUAUUUGAGGUUUUGAUGAUUUUUCAGGUUGGUUUUGUCUAUUUUUAAGGGGAAAUUCUGUCAAAAUUUUCAUAGAAAUAUAGCACAGUCAAAUAGGUCAAGUUCGCCUUGGCGGUGGGUCCAACAUUUAGCUGGCA